UACGUAGGCAGCGAGCGUUGUUCGGAGUUACUGGGCGUAAAGCGUGCGUAGGCGGUGGUCCAAGUCUGGUGUGAAAUCUCCCGGCUUAACUGGGAGGGUGCGCCGGAAACUGGGCCGCUGGAGUACGGGAGAGGCAAGCGGAAUUCCAGGUGUAGCGGUGAAAUGCGUAGAUAUCAGGAGGAACACCGGUGGCGAAGGCGGGUCUCUGGGCCGAUACUGACGCUGAGGAGCGAAAGCGUGGGGAGCGAACAGG
rnacentral:rRNA from 1 species